GUGGGGAAUCUUCCGCAAUGGACGAAAGUCUGACGGAGCAACGCCGCGUGAGUGAUGACGGCCUUCGGGUUGUAAAGCUCUGUUAAUCGGGACGAAUGGUUCUUGUGCAAAUAGUGCGAGGAUUUGACGGUACCGGAAUAGAAAGCCACGGCUAACUACGUGCCAGCAGCCGCGGUAAUACGUAGGUGGCAAGCGUUGUCCGGAAUUAUUGGGCGUAAAGCGCGCGCAGGCGGAUUGGUCAGUCUGUCUUAAAAGUUCGGGGCUUAACCCCGUGAUGGGAUGGAAACUGCCAAUCUAGAGUAUCGGAGAGGAAAGUGGAAUUCCUAGUGUAGCGGUGAAAUGCGUAGAUAUUAGGAAGAACACCAGUGGCGAAGGCGACUUUCUGGACGAAAACUGACGCUGAGGCGCGAAAGCCAGGGGAGCGAACGGGAUUAGAUACCCCGGUAGUCC
rnacentral:rRNA from 1 species